AGGAGAUGAUCAUUUGGGCAUCUCAGCCUUCCUGAGAAGUCAGAGGUGUGUGACCACCUGUGCCUACUUGAAGCAGAAAGAAUUAUACUGAAGUGGGAAACACCUGUCCAUAAUAACAAGUUGGUGCAUGCUCAGUACUCCACGGCGAUAGGAUAUAUAAAGUGGAAAGCUGUCUUGCUUAAAGGGACUCCUGCUUAAACAUCCUCCCGAGUUCCAACUCAUCACUCCUCAUCCAAUAUUGGGGCUCAGGAUGGUCCUGAAGUCCUCUGGGAAAAGACCACCUAGGUUUCUCAACCCAGAGAAAAGCAUCCUUAAAAUUAACUGAGAAUUUUUAAAAAGUCCUCUUCUUCCUCUCUCUUUCCUUGUCUAGAAGGAAGGACUUCAACUAAGGCUGCUAACAAGAUAGUAUGGCAUCUGGCACAAGGAAAGGCCUAAAGAAAAGCCAUUGUAUCAUGGGUUAUAAUCUCCUUAGCAAAAGGAAAAAAGUUAAAGGAAAGUUGAUUUUAUUCUCUGAGUAAGGAUGAUUUAAAAUUUCACUCCUCAGAUCUCAUCAUCAAUUAUAACCAACCAAACAAAAACGGACCUUUUAUGAUUCUGGAGAUGACCAAGGCACAGCUCUAGAAGAAAAUAAUUUAAAAUAACCUAUAAUCAAAACCUCAGAGUUUGCUUGCCCAAAGAGCUAUUAGAAUUUUUUGAAGAAAUGAUGUAUGAGUUUAAAAAACAUUAUUAAAUAAAUGAGAGAGAUGAAGAAGAGAAUUGGAAAAGGGAUCCAUAAUUUAACAUAAGUUAUAAAAACUAACCCUUGUUAACAAACUCUAAAAAAUAGACUAAAUGAAAAUUGACUCCAGGAGAUGACAAGAACUCUUAAAGUCAAAAGAAUGGGGAAACUGGAGGAAAAUAUAAAAUAUAAAAAUCAAAUCAAAUAGAGGAAAAUGUACCUAGAAAACAUAUCAAGUCAGAUAAUUUUAAGCAUCAUAGGAUUAUGUGAAAUCUAUGAUCAUAAAAAGAAUUUGGAUAUCAUUUUUCAAGAAAUCAAUCGAGGAAGUUGCCCAAAUAGAGCAAGAGGACAAUAUGAAAAUAUGAGGGGGGAAAAAAAAACCCUCACCAAUCACCUCCUGAAGGAAUUUCCAAAAUUGAAAUUCCCAUGAAUGUCUGCCAAAAUCCAAAACUUCUAAAUAAGGAAAAAAUACUAUAAGUAACUAGAAAGAGAAUUCAAAUGCUAAGGAGCCACAAUCAAGGUUACUUAAGAUUUAUCUACUGUAACAUAAAAGAACAGAGAACAUGGAUUGAGAUUAUCCAAAAAAAAACAAAUAAAAGGGCUAUAACCAGAAAUAAUUUAUUCAGCAAAAUUGAGUACCAUGCUACCAGUUUUAAAACAGGUAUUCAAUGACAUAGAGAAUAUAAAAAUAUUCCUGAAGAGACAUAUAAAGCUGAAAAACUACCUUUGAAAUAUAAAUAUAGAAGUUAAGGAAAAAAUAUAAGAGGCAACAAAUCAAAAAUCAGAAGAGAUUUUAUGAAGACUUAUUAUCUUUGUAAUAAUUUAUAAUCUAAUGUAGAAACGGGUUGUUAUAAAACUUCUUUUAAAAUUCCAUUGUCACAGGGGGCUAUGCAUAUAGCCAAGUGAAACAGAAGAUUUGUAGUUUUUUUAUAUUUUGAAGAUGUAAGAAAAAAGAAAAGGGGAGAAGAGAAGAUACAUAAAGGGGAAAAUGACAAAUGAGAGAAAUGGUGCUGUUCUUUCCAUUUAGAUUUUUUUUUUUUUAAGGCAUUGAUCUCCCUUUAUCAUUUGGGUCUUCAGUACAAAGACUAUCUAUUCAGACCUAUCUUGCUUUGACCAGUAUGGAAACUUGGAUCUGCUCCAUUUUUUAAUCUGGAUCUCUUUACUUCUCCUAGGGCUACUGGUGCCUCCUUGUUUUCCUAGACUCACUAUAUAAAUGCUGACCUUGGUUCAGAUAGUUGGUCAUGUUAACUCAUCAAAACUUAAUAUUAUAGCUUUUUAUUUACAAGAUAUAUGCCCGGGUAAUUUUUCAGC